AAUUAUUUGAUGGUCACUGUUGUUUUUCAGCAGACAAAACUCCCACUGAUGGGUCAGCACAACGCCAUCUGCUGAGUUUUAGAUCACUGAUGUAGUUUGAAGUUAUCCUAUCUAUUGUUAGCUCAAAUAGAUCAGAUAUUGGCAAAAAGUUCUAAGUAAUACAGAAAUGUUUAGUAGGUUUGUUUCAUAUUGUUGUUUUAGGUUGGAGACCCUUGAGAGGAGCAUCAGAUGGGCAAGAGGGAGGAUUCUUCAAUUGGUUGAUGCAGAUGAACUUCUUCCGUUAGUCAGUGGUUUUAUCCAAAUUGUCCAAACUGGGUUGACAACAGAUCAAGGUAUCUCAGGGUAUCAAGCCCCACUGGUCCGGACAAGUGAUUAUGGACGGUCCAGCUACUUAAUAACUCGCGAGCAACUGCAGUUCCUGCAUUCAUGUGGUUUUGGACCUUGUCAGAUUGCUACCAUUCUUGAUGUGUCAGUCAGUACAGUUAAACGACGAAUGAGGCAGUUCAACCUUUCUGUCUUGACAUACUCGAAUCUUUCAGAUUGUCCCAACUCAUUGUGGCACAUU